AGGUGGUGACUAGUGACAGAGUGAGGGAGGUGAUGACUAGUGACAGUCACCACCUCCCUCACUCUGUCACUAGUCACUCCUUCC